GUUGGUGAUUAUAACCAAGUUAAUAAAUAGCACCGGUUCCCAUUUUCCGAACACCGAAGUUAAGGACUUGAGUGACGAAAAUACUCGUAAGGGGAAGAUAGUUCGUUGCCAACC
rnacentral:rRNA from 1 species